GGGCUGUUGGCACAGGGGUAGCGCGCUCGCUUCGCAUGCGAGAGGUCGUGGGUUCAAUUCCCACACAGUCCA